CCUUAGAGUUUGAUCCUGGCUCAGAGCGUACGCUGGCGGCAGGCUUAACACAUGCAAGUCGAGCGGGCCCUUCGGGGUCAGCGGCAGACGGGUGAGUAACGCGUGGGAACGUGCCCUUCGGUUCGGAAUAACCCUGGGAAACUAGGGCUAAUACCGGAUACGCCCCUUGGGGGAAAGGUUUACUGCCGAAGGAUCGGCCCGCGUCUGAUUAGCUAGUUGGUGAGGCAACGGCUCACCAAGGCGACGAUCAGUAGCUGGUCUGAGAGGAUGAUCAGCCACACUGGGACUGAGACACGGCCCAGACUCCUACGGGAGGCAGCAGAAGGG
rnacentral:rRNA from 1 species